rnacentral:rRNA from 1 species
CAGUCGCCGCGGUAAUACGUAGGUGGCAAGCGUUGUCCGGAAUUAUUGGGCGUAAAGGGCUCGCAGGCGGUUUCUUAAGUCUGAUGUGAAAGCCCCCGGCUCAACCGGGGAGGGUCAUUGGAAACUGUUAAACUUGAGUGCGGGAGAGAAAAGUGGAAUUCUUAGUGUAGCGGUGAAAUGCGUAGAGAUUAGGAGGAACACCAGUGGCGAAGGCGGCUUUUUGGCCUGUAACUGACACUGAGGCGCGAAAGCGUGGGGAGCAAACAGGAUUAGAUACCCGCGUAGUCCCUGUCUCUUAUAC